rnacentral:rRNA from 1 species
UACGGAAGGGGCUAGCGUUGUUCGGAAUUACUGGGCGUAAAGCGCGCGUAGGCGGCUUGGCGAGUGAGGCGUGAAAGUCCUGGGCUCAACCUGGGGACGGCGUUUCAGACUGCCUGGCUUGAGUCCGGAAGAGGGUGGUGGAAUUCCGAGUGUAGAGGUGAAAUUCGUAGAUAUUCGGAGGAACACCGGUGGCGAAGGCGGCCACCUGGUCCGGAACUGACGCUGAAGUGCGAAAGCGUGGGGAGCAAACAGGAUUAGAUACCCUGGUAGUCCACGCUGUAAACGAUGGGUGCUAGAUGUUGGGGAGCUUGCUUCUCGGUGUCGUAGCUAACGCGUUAAGCACCCCGCCUGGGGAGUACGGCCGCAAGGUUAAA